rnacentral:rRNA from 1 species
GACGAACGCUGGCGGCGUGCCUAAUACAUGCAAGUCGAGCGGAGUUAGAGAAGCUUGCUUCUCUAACUUAGCGGCGGACGGGUGAGUAACACGUGGGCAACCUACCUUGUAGAUUGGGAUAACUCCGGGAAGCCGGGGCUAAUACCGAAUAAUCCAUUUUGCUUCAUGGCGAGAUGUUAAAAGGCGGCUUCGGCUGUCGCUACGAGAUGGGCCCGCGGCGCAUUAGCUAGUUGGUAGGGUAAUGGCCUACCAAGGCGACGAUGCGUAGCCGACCUGAGAGGGUGAUCGGCCACACUGGGACUGAGACACGGCCCAGACUCCUACGGGAGGCAGCAGUAGGGAAUCUUCCACAAUGGACGAAAGUCUGAUGGAGCAACGCCGCGUGAGUGAAGAAGGUUUUCGGAUCGUAAAACUCUGUUGUAAGGGAAGAACACGUACGAGAGUAACUGCUCGUACCUUGACGGUACCUUAUUAGAAAGCCACGGCUAACUACGUG